CAGUCGAGCGAGAAGGUGUAGCAAUACACUUGUAAAGCGGCGAACGGGUGAGGAAUACAUGGGUAAUCUACCAUCGAGUGGGGAAUAACCAGCCGAAAGGUUGGCUAAUACCGCGUACGCCUCCGAAUCUUCGGGUUCGGAGGGAAAGCCGCACUGUGAGUGCGGCGCUCUUUGAUGAGCUCAUGUCCUAUCAGCUCGUUGGUAGGGUAACGGCCUACCAAGGCUUUGACGGGUAGCUGGUCUGAGAGGACGAUCAGCCACACUGGCACUGCGACACGGGCCAGACUCCUACGGGAGGCAGCAGUAAGGAAUAUUGCGCAAUGGGCGAAAGCCUGACGCAGCGACGCCGCGUGGGGGAUGAAGGUCUUCGGAUUGUAAACCCCUUUCGGGAGGGAAGAUGGAGCGAGCAAUCGUUCGGACGGUACCUCCAGAAGCAGCCACGGCCAACUUCGUGCCAGCAGCCGCGGUAAUACGAAGGUGGCAAGCGUUGUUCGGAUUCACUGGGCGUACAGGGUGUGUAGGCGGUUUGGUAAGCCUUCUGUUAAAGCUUCGGGCCCAACCCGGAAAGCGCAGAGGGUACUGCCAGGCUAGAGGGUGGGAGAGGAGCGCGGAAUUCCCGGUGUAGCGGUGAAAUGCGUAGAGAUCGGGAGGAAAGGCCGGUGGCGAAAGCGGCGCUCUGGAACAUACCUGACGCUGAGACACGAAAGCGUGGGGAGCAAACAGGAUUAGAUACCCUGGUAGUCCACGCCCUAAACUAUGGAUACUAAGUGUCGGCGGGUUACCGCGGUGCCGCAGC
rnacentral:rRNA from 1 species